AAUACAUGUCGCCGUUGACUUUUUAUCAUAUGUUUGACCAUUCAUCUUAUUUAAAAAUUUAUGCAAAUAUAUAAAAAUGCAAGUCAUGUUUAAAAUAUAUAUAGUAAUUCAUAAUAAAAUAAAUAAUAUUUGCAUAAAUUUUUUUAAUAAGACGAAUGGUCAAACGUGUGACUAAAAGUCAACGGCAACAUAUAUU
rnacentral:pre_miRNA from 1 species